UACAGAGAGUGCAAACGUUGUUCGGAAUCACUGGGCUUAAAGCGCACGUAGGCGGCACUGUAAGUGUCGGGUGAAAUCCCACGGCUCACCCGUGGAACUGCCCGGCAGACUGUGGUGCUCGAGUGUGGUAGGGGAGAGCGGAACUCCUGGUGGAGCGGUGAAAUGCGUAGAUAUCAGGAAGAACACCAGUGGCGAAAGCGCUCUACUGGGCCAUAACUGACACUGAGGGACGAAAGCUAGGGGAGCGAAAGGG
rnacentral:rRNA from 1 species